CCUACGGGGGGCUGCAGUGGGGGAUAUUGGACAAUGGGGGAAACCCUGAUCCAGCGACGCCGCGUGAGUGAAGAAGUAUUUCGGUAUGUAAAGCUCUAUCAGCAGGGAAGAAAGAAAUGAUGGUACCUGAGUAAGAAGCCCCGGCUAACUACGUGCCAGCAGCCGCGGUAAUACGUAGGGGGCAAGCGUUAUCCGGAAUUACUGGGUGUAAAGGGAGCGUAGACGGUAAUGCAAGUCUGGAGUGAAAGGCGGGGGCUCAACCCCCGGACUGCUCUGGAAACUGUGUAACUGGAGUGCAGGAGAGGCAGGCGGAAUUCCUAGUGUAGCGGUGAAAUGCGUAGAUAUUAGGAGGAACACCAGUGGCGAAGGCGGCCUGCUGGACUGUAACUGACGUUGAGGCUCGAAAGCGUGGGGAGCAAACAGGAUUAGAUACCCGGGUAGUC
rnacentral:rRNA from 1 species